AAAAUCCCUGUUGCUCUUGGCCUUCAAGGGGACUCCAAGUGAAAGCAAGCCUCUCUUAGAUUUGCCAUUGUCUUUUUGAUUUGAACCCAGAUCUCCGGGAGGAAAUACACAGCUGCAACAUGUGGCUGCAAAUCCCAGCAGAAGGGAGCAUUAAAGUUUCUGAAUAAAUGGAAAGCAGGUUACUAGCCCCAUCCAGAUAUCUUACCCAGCAACGCCUGGAAAAGCUCGCUCUGGAAGAUGUGGAGGACCUUCUGGAGGGAGACCUGCAGCGGCUCUUCUGCCGGGGAGCGGAGGGUGCCUAGGUAGCGAGAGAGGAUCUCCACCGCGCGGCGAGUGUCUGCCAAGACAAGGCCGGAGGGCAUGGCGCCUUUCGAAUCCAGGGCCCAAAAGGAGCAUUAAAGACAGCUACAAUACCAGAAAACAGUCGUUUCCUUGCAGGGUCAAAGAUCACAAAUACACCAUGUAGCAGAAUACGGUGACGAUGAUUAUGUUUAUUUUAUUACUUUCGCUUUCAGCACAAGUUGGUCCCUGAGCUUUCAUUGGGUGCAUCUAUUGUAGUAUUAAUGCAGUUUGGCACCACUUUGUUUAUUGUUAUUGUUGUUGUUGUUGUUGUUGUUGUUAUUAUUAUUAUUAUUAUUAUUAUGUUUAUUAUACUACUUUCGCUUUCAGCACAAGUUGGUCCCUGAGCUUUCAUUGGGUGCAUCUAUUGUAGUAUUAAUGCAGUUUGGCACCACCUUGUUUAUUAUUAUUAUUAUGUUUAUGUUUAUGUUUAUGGUACUACUUUCGCUUUCAGCACAAGUUGGUCCCUGAGCUUUCAUUGGGUGCAUCUAUUGU
rnacentral:lncRNA from 11 species